CGUAGGGUGCGAGCGUUGUCCGGAAUUAUUGGGCGUAAAGGGCUCGUAGGCGGUUUGUCGCGUCGGGAGUGAAAACCAGGUGCUUAACACCUGGCUUGCUUUCGAUACGGGCAGACUAGAGGUAUGCAGGGGAGAACGGAAUUCCUGGUGUAGCGGCGAAAUGCGCAGAUAUCAGGAGGAACACCGGUGGCGAAGGCGGUUCUCUGGGCAUGACCUGACGCUGAGGAGCGAAAAGUGUGGGGAGCGAACAGGAUU
rnacentral:rRNA from 1 species